GCACCGGAAAAUCCAACCAUUUUGCGCUCCGAAGGCAAAGGUCACACGUUCGAAUCGUGUCGGGUGCGCCA
rnacentral:tRNA from 1 species